CCGGCAUGUCUCACAUGGUGAGCACAGAGCAGCUGACAUUAACAGUCUGCUCCCCGCCACUGCGGGUUUGUGCCCCAUCCGAGACUCCAUACCGGUGAUGCGACGGACAACAGUGACGGGCAUGUAAAUCGGGACUGUCCGGACUAUCACCACUAGUUGGCAUAUCUGUCGCAUCUUUACGUACAUCUGUUUUAAGUGAGCACUAUGAACUAGUGCCACUUUGAGUACAAAUAGUGAGCACUGAGUAUCGGGUGCCACUUUGUUAAUCUAUGAUACUUCAAUAUCUGAGUUAUCUACAUGCACAAGUUGUAUUUAUCCCCUGAUGACGUUCAAUAUUAGAGCAGAAACGCGUAGGGGUUUUGCAUUAAUUGCUGUGGUUUGUAAUAAAUUCACUCACUAGUGGU